CAGCCGCCGCGGUAAUACGUAGGGUGCAAGCGUUAAUCGGAAUUACUGGGCGUAAAGCGUGCGCAGGCGGUUAUAUAAGACAGAUGUGAAAUCCCCGGGCUCAACCUGGGAACUGCAUUUGUGACUGUAUAGCUAGAGUACGGCAGAGGGGGAUGGAAUUCCGCGUGUAGCAGUGAAAUGCGUAGAUAUGCGGAGGAACACCGAUGGUGAAGGCAAUCCCCUGGGCCUGUACUGACGCUCAUGCACGAAAGCGUGGGGAGCAAACAGGAUUAGAUACCCCAGUAGUCCCUGUCUCUUAUAC
rnacentral:rRNA from 1 species